rnacentral:RNase_MRP_RNA from 1 species
GUGCGACGAUUUGCAACGGAGGCCACAAACGGAAUGGAGCCUCGUGCUGCCAUUCGAACACACUCCUCCGGGGAAAGUCCCCGGACACUGCGGCAGAGAGUGCCAGCCAUCAAGGCCAGUCCCUCUACUAUCUGAGCUUCUGGCGAAGACAACCUUCGGUUUGAGCUGAUAUGGCAAGGGCGGUAGAGACGAUCGUCACAGCACAGUUAUGCAAAUGGCGGCCUGUUGCAUUUGUAGCAGGUCACGCUAACUCAACGGGGCUUAUGUUCGUG